AUGAGUACGUGUAAAAAGGCCAGGGCGGAAGCUACAUCUGUUGUAAGUUCAGACAGACUGAGCAGUCUGCCUCCAGAGAUAAAGGGCGACAUCCUCUCCCGUUUGAAUGCCGAAGAAGCAGUUAGGACUAGCACCUUAUCAAGUACUUGGAAGGAUGCAUGGACUGAAAUGCCAGUAAUAUCUCUAUCUGAUGGAAAUCUUACAAGAACCAAGUUCGUUACGUUAGUGGAUAUGGUGCUAUUACUCCACAAGGGACCAAUAGAGGAGUUUGAAAUUUCAGGUAGCAAAAAUUACCAUGAUGAGUUCGGUAGGUGGAUGAUCAUGCUGUCAAGGAGAUCACCAAAAUCAGUUACAAUCAAGUUGAACUCAGGGCCAAAGUAUAAGAUUCCCUCCUGCCUCUUUUCUAUCGGUGAUCUGGAGUCUCUGGACCUAAAAAACUGCAUCAUCAGCUUGCCCCGGGCAUUCCAAGGUUUCAAGAGCCUAAGUGACCUCAGCAUGAAAAUCUUCUCCUCCACAGACAAGGAUAUCCAAAAUCUGAUCUCGUUCUGCCCCGUACUGACUUAUUUGAGAUUAAAGUCUUUUGAGGGCAUCAACCGUCUAAACAUUAAGGCUCCUAAACUGGAUUAUCUUAAUGUUCAUGGGGAUUUUAAAGACAUUAAUUUGGAUGCCCCUAAUCUGGAGAUGGCCUCUCUCUUUCUUGAUAACAAAGCAUAUCAAUCUGUUCCAAUUGCGCAUGACAAGGAAUGCUAUUGUCUAUCAGAGGGGUGCAUAGUUACGAAGGUCCCUGCCGUGUUUACUCGCCUGGAGAAUAUUUACCUUACAAUAUGCUUUUGGGACCAGAGGCAAGUCUUGAUUGCAUGCUCAUUGUUUCAGAAUGCCCCUGACUUGAAGAGUGUUGAGAUGUGGAGUUACCCUUCGAGCACAUGGGAUCAGGAUCAGGCGAGCAUUCAAGAGCUUACCCCGCAAAUGCAAAUGGACCAUCUCGUAACGGCCAGUGUGAAAUGGUUCCGGGGUUUGGACUACGAAGUCGAAUUUGUUGCAAAGCUAUUGAGCUGGGCACCUGCUCUAGAAGAACUGAAAAUAGAGUGGGAGGGCGAAACUGACCGCAGCAUGGUUCUUACGAAGCUAUUAGCUCUGCCAAGGGUGUCUCCCAGGGCCAAGAUCAUUGUCACAUGA
rnacentral:rRNA from 1 species